UACAGGGGGGGCAAGCGUUGUUCGGAAUUACUGGGCGUAAAGGGCUCGUAGGCGGCCAACUAAGUCCGACGUGAAAUCCCCAGGCUUAACCUGGGAACUGCGUCGGAUACUGGAUGGCUUGAAUUCGGGAGAGGGAUGCAGAAUUCCAGGUGUAGCGGUGAAAUGCGUAGAUAUCUGGAGGAAUACCGGUGGCGAAGGCGGCAUCCUGGACCGACAUUGACGCUGAUGAGCGAAAGCUGGGGGAGCAAACAGG
rnacentral:rRNA from 1 species